AUUAUUCUUCCCAUCCAAAGCGGCUUUGACAUCAUCAGUACUGGACGAACAUUCUCGGCUCUUAGCAUCCUGGGAGCAUUUUGCACUCCACUGCACAUUUCCAAAUACUACACCGCUUCCAUCAACCAGACCAUCAAGCUGAUUAUUCUUCCCAUCCAAAGCGGCUUUGACAUCAUCAGUACUGGACAAACAUUCUUGGUUCUUAGCAUCAUGAGAGAACUUUGCCUUCCGCCGUGCUUUUCUAUUCACUACACUACUUCCAUCAACCGGACCAUUAAGCUGAUUAUUCUUCCCAUCCAAAGCGGCUUUGGCAUCAUCAAUGCUGAAGAAACAUCCACGGGUCUUAGCAUCAUGAACCAAAGAUUCCCAUAUAGAUUUACUUCCCGUCAGCGUUCCCUCAUUCCCCAAGAUCCAAAGAGAAUAUCUACAUAGAAGCAGCAAAAAGCAGGGAUUGUUCAUAAAUAACAUCUUAUGACAAAAUUCAAAUCACCUUGGUUAGGCAGGAAUAGAAGAGACUACCUUGCCCUGGUGAUAGUCACAUUGGUUCUCUUAGUGUCAGAAACGAACCCGAUAAAACCACGAGGGUUUGAUCUCACGGUGGAUACUAUUAUGAUGUCUUCUUCACCCCCUUGGAACCCAUCCACUGACCUCACUUUCACUCUAAAGCCUUUGAUAUUCUCAUAACUUUUUCCAAUUUUCUUUUGUAUUGCAGCAACCUGAGCCCCAUAUGGAGAUAUCACACCGACACUUAGAUCUUCGCCUGAAGAUUUGCAUGCUGCAGAAAAACCAAGACGACAUAUUUAGAUUAGCGAAAAGUUUCAACAAUACUGACAUGAAAGUGUUAUGUACACCUGCAAUUACUGUCCUACGUGUCCCGUAAGACUAAGUUAAUGACCCAAAUGACAAGAAAGCACAUCAUCCCCAGUUUCAAACAGCAUUUAAAGCUAUGCAAAUCUCUCCAGACAUCCCAAUAAACUAAAUGGACUUCAUGCUAAGAUUGAACAGAAAUAUUCUUCUCUUACAGCUUCAGCAGUCAACUGCCUGCCUGCCCAUGCUCUACGACAGUAUAGUAAAAGGUGCAUCCACAUAUAUAACCAAACAUGUACAAAGACAUUGUGAUUAUUUGCUUUAAUUCAUACUAUUUGGCAGGAAAUGAUAUAAUCUAGUGAAAUUCUCUCGUGGCGUACCUCCAUAAAGAUUCCUCAAAAUCAUCGAGACAACUCCUACCUCAGCAGUGUUUCUAAGGCUAUGUCCAUCAUCCCCACCUUCUUCUCUUCCAAUAGAAAUAUUUAUGAAGGAGUACGGGCCAAACAUCGGCCACGGCAAAUGACACUUUCUAUAACUUUUGCUGGUAACAUUCGGCCCAUUUUGAAUUUGAUUAUUGUAAAAGGUUGAUGUUGGAAAGCGACUUAUGGCGGGAUGCAUCCUGUACUGGAUAUUGAGAAGGUGCCUUGGAUGACCCAGAGAACCCAACCUUUCAAAUAGACUCCUUCCAAAGCCAGCGUUGCUAGAAAGCUAUAGAAAUGAAAACAUACACAAACUCAAAGGUCAAUUAAGCAUAAAAUCAUCAUGUUUAUGUAUGCUUCCGCAUGUUGUUAGUCAAACACUCAGCAAUGACAUACCUUGCUCUCAACCAUUGCAGGCAACUGACAUUCAUCUCCAACUAAAAUUGUGUGCCUAACACCGCGAAGCUGUAGCGGAAUCAUUGACUCGCAUUCUUUUAACUGCGCAGCCUCAUCAAUCACCAAUAAACUGAGAGGCUCCAUUUUCGUUUCCAUGGCAUAGAGCUUAUAUGAGUUGGAGGCAGUGCAGAAAAUCAAGGAAGCUGCUUGAUAACAGAACUCAGCUAUCUUGUUCUCACCUAUCUUGCUCUCACUCUUAAAUGUUGCAAGGUUUAGCUCUCUAAGAGAUGUGUUAAGAGUUUGCAAAACAGAGAGGCAUUCACGUCUCUUCAUCAACAAUGCUGUAUAUAGUGGAUCUGUCACAGUUUUUAAUGAAGAUGGGUCCGAUGAAAAUGCUUCCUUCAACUUCCCCGAAUCCAACUUCUCUCCACAUAGUGAAACUUCAAAAGAAUCCAGUAAGAUAAGAAGGGACUUUAUAUACCGGAAAUUAUGUUCCAAAAGGAAACUUUUGGAUAUAUGGGUGCAUAAGAUAGAGAAGCACCUACGGAGAGGCUCAGCACUAGACUUGAAUUUGUACUUGAAAAAUUCCAGAAAUGAUUUAACUUUAGGUUUGGAUUUGUUACCAUUAGGCUUCGAUUUAAUCAUGCGUUCAUUCUCCAUAAAAAUGGGGUAUUGGUCAACACAGUCAUUGAGAGUAUCAAUCAUGGAAGGUAGACAAUGCUGCCAACCGGUGUGUACAGAAAAGCACCACGCAACACAAUCAACUCGAUGUUGCAGGAAUAUUUCCUCGGUAUCUGAAUCUACUUUCAUCCGCUCCUUGCUCCCAAAACAUAGCAUGUCUCCUAAGUAAUAGGGCAAGCUUUCCCCAUGAGAAUUUGUGCAAGCCGAUUGUUUCACCAGCUGCAGAACACGAGACACCAAUUCCUUGAUUGCAACAUUUGUUGGAGCACAAACAAGGGUUCUGUGUUUCCUUUCCAAGAGAGUAAAGAGCAGCGCAGCGACAGUUUUGGUCUUCCCUGUUCCGGGAGGACCCUGUAUCAUUUCCACAGCCGACCUGUGCUGACACUUGAUUGUAUUGAGACAAACCCGAAUGGCUUUUUUCUGGGAUUUAUUUAGACUGGCAAACAAGUUCUUAUUGAGACUCUCAUUUCCAGAGCCAUGACUUUGAGUAAUACAGAGAUUGCAAUUUAUCUCAGCCUGCAAACAAACACAUACUCUUCUGAAAAUCCACACCCAAAUAACCUAUGUAAAAGUUAAAAAACUGUGAAAACUGUGUUGAUUAUGUUCCACCCCUGUACGACCUGGACUAAUAUUGAGCACGAAGGAUCUUGUUAUAUAUGAACGAGGUCUAUGACUAAAUAUUCCUCGUACUACUGCAGAAUUGAAAUUUAAUGUGAUUGAGUGACUUGGGGCAAUCUUCUUUUGACUGUUUGGAGGAAUAACAGGCUGACUCAAAAGAGAACAGAGUUCUGUUUCUUUUGUAAUCAGAAUCAAGUUCUGUUGGAGCCAAUAAUAUGUUUACCAUAAAACCUUAUGGAGAUGAUAGGUACAGAAAAAAGUCCUUACCGCUGAAUCCUUAUGGAGAACUCCCUUUUCAAUCUUCAACUUUCGAUAUCUGUGAAGCACAUUCCAUAUCCUAUUGUUGGGGACUGCGUUUAUCACGUAAACUGCAUACAUUUUCUCCCAGGAACAAUCAUCCUUCACUUUGUUAUCCAAAAAUGCCUUGACUCUAAAGUUAGUUGAUGAUUGAGCAUUCCCGUCAGCAUCAAUUUCAGUGACUGAUGCAAAUGCCCAUCCUCCUGCAAACCUUUCUAAGCUGGGUAGGGUGUCCGGUUUAGCAUUAGUUAAUAUCAAAACAUCCCCAGGCAAAGUUUUGUAGGGCUCCUUGCCAUGGUGAGUGGAUCUGUUUCUCCAGUGAUCCACUCCCACAUGAUACUCAUUCUUCUUGCCUUCAGCAAAACCAGUGACUUCCGCGAAAGGCAGGCUAGAUACAGUCUGCAUACUUGAACAGAGACUGGCUCGUGUUUCCUCAAGCAAAGGGAAAAUAUAAGAAGCAAGGUAUUGAUCAACUGAUUGAAAUGACUCCGGGAUGCUCUUCACCUACAGAACGGGUGUAUCGAAAAUCAAACAUGACCAACCAACUUCACUCGAUAGAUCGAGCGACUCUGUUCUCUGUCUAUCAAUGUCACCCAGAUUGGAUAACAUAGCAUAUUUAAAGAGCAAAUAUCCCCCCCGACACCUAAUUAACUUCGCCACACACAGACAGAGAGCAAGGUCCUUCCCCACUAUACAACAUUCCAACUUCACACAGCAAGGCUCACAAAAGAAACAUUGCCAAAGAGCAAAGAACUAACAUCAUUUAGAACAUUUUCAAGCCAACAUCCAUUAAACUUAUACCGAUGAUCAUACGAAAGCGAGAUCAGAACAGCAAACAUAGCCCAAAAAACGGGGAAAAACAAAAGAAAGGAAAGAGACAAAGAAAAGAGAACCUUGUCCCCGUAGAGAUUGAUAUUGAAGAUUUCUUGAAGAGACCAAGAGAAGAUAACAUCAAACAGGUCAGUGCGCUUGUCUUUCUUCCAGCUAGAUCCAGCCCCCGCACCUACUGUAGAAUCCAUGGCCAUCUCUAAAGCCAAGAAAACAAAUCCUUACUUUCGACGAAUAUGUCUGAGAAUUCCAAGCGAACGAGAGAUCAAGAGAGCAAAUAUGAAGAAGCGAGCAGCUUUGUCACUUGCGAGUCACCCUCAUCCGAGAGACGAGCAUUUGAAAAAGGACGAUCGGCGAGUGACCGCGGGCGGUGUGGAAAAGGGACCGGGAAUGGAAGCUGAUGACGACUCGUGAAAAGUCUUGGUCUCCUCGUAUCUGCUAAAGCAUACGACCCGAUUUCGCCAAACCUUCUACCUGCUAAAGCCCGUUGCGCAAUGCACGUCGCUCCUCAUUUAAUGCGAAUCAAGCUAAGACGGAUGCCUUUCCGACCCCAAAAAAGGGAAAAAAGAUGCGAGUCCGAAACCCACGAGCAAUGGUUUGCUCGGGUUAAGCUUUCUUGCGUGCUAAGCUUACGUCACCGUCGCAGUACACACGGUCUUUGCUCGUCUGACAUACAUGGCGGUCGACAAUAAUGUCUGGAGCUUGGAUUGAGAUUGGCAAAGACCCGCGUUCCUUCUUUCCUGGAUUCGAAUGUCAAGGAUGCGUACACGCGUCUACGGCCGGUGCUCAACGUACAUGAGCACUGAAAUCACUUGAGGAGGACCUAAAAACCAGGGGAAACUUUGGGUACACCAGUUGGGCCCGCUAGCAAAAUAUUAAUGCUUUCAUUGGACGAAACGUGUCGCGUUGGCCCACUUUGCGUUGAUUCUCCUCUCACCUACUUUUCCCUCCCUCCCUCGCUUUUUCUUCACCUUCCUCGUCCCUCGUCUUUUCUCUGUUUAGCACUUAUUUUUCUUCUCCAUGCCCGAGGCUCGUGGCUACUUUGGUUGAUGGAGCUCGACCUGGAACUCGGAUGCGCCAUGCGAAAAAGCAACGGAGAAGAUGAUAAAAAGCAAAUGACAUACUGAGAGAGGAAAAAGUAACGAAGAGAGGAGAGUUUACGUAAGGUGGACCCGAUAAGACACGUAUCGCUUAAUGAAUAGACUAAUACUUUACUAAGUUGGCUAACUAGUGUUCCUAAUAUUUUCUCAUUAAGGCUUGCCUUAAUUAGGCCGGCAAGUAGGUAUUUAUGCAUCGGACAAGUGAAAAAGUACUGUUAUAUGGUUAUUUAGGCUUUUUAGAGUGUUAAGAUAAUUUUGGCAACCAAAUCUAAUGAGUGUUACGUAAAGAGAUAUGAAGUUCGAGUUUCCGUGAUAAUUCUAAUUAGAAACAUUGUCAAUGAAAAAUUAUGUGAGAUUCAGGAAAUUAGUGCCUGACAAGUUAAGAAUUUAGUUAAAGAAUAACGAGAUAGAGAUAUGAUUCGUUCCCCAUCAUUUGCACUUAUCAAUAUGGUAUUCUUGGAAAGCAAAGUCUUUUUAUUUCUGGGUCGAAGAAAGAGAAAUAAUUGGAGAAGUGCUUUUUAGUUUACUUUACGCCUGGGAGACUAGAAAGCCUGCAUCGGAGACUACGAGUUUUUUUUUUUUGGAACAAAAAACCCUAUGAGUUAAAAAUCCAUCCACUAGUGAUUUUAUAAAUUAAAUAAUGAUUAUUUAAGACCUCAGGUCAAGUAGGAGGGGCGAGAGAGAAAGAUGAUGGCUCUUGGAAAGUCUUUUGAGUCCCCUCGCACGCCAGAUCACUUUUUGUUCUUAUUUGAAAAAUUAUCCAAAUCAAUCUUAAACAACUAUAUAGAUAUAGUUUCCCUCCUAAACUUUCCAUUUCAUAAAUUAAAAAUUUUAAAUUUUCUCACUAAAUUCCAAUGCCAUCCUUCCAACCAAUUUCGUCGAAGAUGACCAACGUGAUGAUGUGAUUGAUACAUUUUUGGUUCAUGAACAUAUUAAUAUUAUGCGAUGCCUCUUAUUUUUAUUAACAUGAUUGGUCGCUUAAUAAUAAUAAUACUUGAAUCAUUGUUUCUUUUCAUCUCUGGAAUUGUGUAGCUGCCUACCUAAGCCUUUCUAUCGCCUUUUGUUACUAGGUUACCCUUCAAAAAGUCCAAUAAAGAUAAUCAAAAUAUUGUUUUCCUAGUGCCGAGGUCGUUUAAUAGGAACAAUAUCAUGCAAAUAAUUAAAUUCCUAUUGUUUACACUCAUGCAUGCAAUUCUUGAUUAGGCAUCGGUCAUUUGUAUUUACUACCAUUUUAAGUAGUAGGAAAGAGGGAAUUGAAUCUUAAAAUCGACCACAAUUUCAAGAAUCAUCUCGAAAGCCCCUACGAAGUAUAAAACAAAAGAAGAGCAAAAAAGAAAAAUUGGGAAAAUCUUUCAUGCAUAUCAUUCGUUUUAAUUAAUGUGAAACUAGAAUUUUAAUGGUUAGGAUUAAGGUUAGUGUAAUAUCGUCUUUGAAUUCACAAUUUCACAUAAUCGACUUCAUUGCACCCUAUACUAUAUCAGGAAGGCAGGAAUCAACAUCCAGAUAUUUAUAGAUGAAUUUCCACUUCGUACCUAUGACACCUAAACUGAAAAUUCUGCCCCAUUCAUUCAAUCAAAUAUAUCCACACAUAAAACUAGAAAGAAGAUGAAUAAUUAAGAAGGUCCCUGCCUUUUCCAAAAUACCCGGCAUGGGCACAUAAAUUCUGACCCGAAUGAAAAAUUCCUUAUAAAGAAGUUGCAUUUUCCCCUGCUUCUGUCAAAAAGGCUCCGUUUCUAGAAGGGAGCAAUAUGGAUUACUCAAAUACGAAGCGCAUCGAGCCGAGAUCUCAUUUCUUGAUCUGGCUCGGUUACUUCUGAUGUGAGAUUCGCUUUGCUUUGGUGGUCCUGCGAAAGCAACUGCCUUACCACAUGUGAUGAUGAGGGGUGGAAUCUCAUUGAAAGUAGGCUCUCGCUGGCUCCCAGAUUUGAAAUACCAGUACCAUUUGGUUUGACUAGACCCGAAAGAUCUUUUGGUCUUUCAAAAUUCCAUAAAAUUUUUGAAUUCAACAUUUAUAUUCCUAAAUCAUUCAUUCAAAUGUUUGACUAGACCCGAAAGAUCUUUUGGUCUUUCAAAAUUCCAUGAAAUUUUUGUAUUCAUCAUUUAUAUUCCUAAAUCAUUCAUUCGAAUCACCAUUCUAUAAAUAAAUCUAUUUUGAAUUUUAUAAAAUAGAAUGAAUAUUUUAUGGAUUCAUUAUUCAAUUUAAAUAUUAAUUAAAAUCGAAAAAAAGAAAAAAAAAAGAAUUUCUGAACGAAAUGAAAACAGAUAAAAUUAAAAGAAAUAGAAGUAAUACUUUUAGAAAGUCCUUCUAGGGGGUGAGCCAUCAGCGAGAUCACUCUGGAAACUGGAGAGUUAGAAUUCUAACCUUAUAUAAGAACUUAUGGAACUUGAUGAAGAUUAGCCCUCGAGUGCAAGGGCAGAAUGGAGCUUGAUUGCAAGACCCACCCAUGAUCGCUUUCGCUUGAAUUUGAUCUGAACUAUGGAGACGAGCAUUACCACAAGAAGAAUCCCAUGUCUUUGGAACUACCUAAUCCCUAUACGACAGAAAUAUGUGCGCAAAUGAGAUAGUAGAUUGGAAAACUGGGGUACAGGUAAGCGUUCGUUUGGUAGAACUUGGCAUUCAAGCCAGCUUACCUGCAGGUUCUAGUUGCCUAGAACCCAUGCUUGGUCGCCAGGUAGCCUCUCCAUUUAAGGAGGUUAGCAUUUGGACUCACCGUAGUAUUUCUACUACCCUACGUUACCCCGCAGGCAGCAUGCCCCGUUCCCUCCCCUGGCUUUUCUUCCCAGGGAGGUUGGGAAUACGGCAGACCUAUCAGGGACUCCCACCCUAGGAUGGUUCUCCCAUCAUUUAGGAAUGCCUUAAGCAGUUUAAAGACCUGCUCAGGUCUCAUUUGUUGAGGUGAUUUAUCCAGGAAAGUGAAUGAUAUCCAAGAUGAGACUUAUCUCUCGAGACAUUUCUCGUUGCAGCGACUAAUGAAAUCGUCUGCAUAGGCUUUGAAGUCGAUGCCAUGACGUUCAACCAGUUUCAUUGCAUCCCUUAAGGGCAAUACAUCCAAAAUUUUGAAGAAUUGGAUGUAUCUCAGUUCCCAAAUAUUCAGUAUAUCGAUGGUGCACGGCACGUAGAGAGACCUUCGACCUUGAACUGCUUCACCAAUUGAGAACAACUUUUCCGGCUUAAACCCACAUUGCUCUUCACUGGUCUCCAGCCACCAGCAAGUUUCAGUAAGAGGUUCAUUAUUGACACUUUGGUCCUAAGCCACGUCAGCUUUCUGAAAGACUUCAGGAAGUUGUCGCUGAAGAAAACCUAUAGAGACGAAUGAUUGACAGUAUUAUCAUUGAAUCUGCAAAAUGAACAUUCUGAAAUGACGAAUUAGCAAAGAAAACCAUUCGCGCAAGCUGUUUACCCUCCACCAAGCGUUUUAAAAUAGGACACCGUUGUCAUCGAGCAGAUCAUCGAGCUAGAUAUCCUCUUUCUUCCCAUCCAAAAUUGCUUUAACUUCAUCACUACUGGAGGAACAUUCUCGGCUCUUGGCAUCGUGAAAGCAAUUUGCCCUCCUCCUCUCAUUUCUAAACAGUACACUACUUCCAUCGACCGGAUCAUCAAGUUGAUUACUAUUCCCAUCCAAAAUGGCUCUAACAUCAUUGAUGGGUUUUUAUGUUUGAUGGCUUACUUAAGCUCGUCCACUCAUGUUGGGUCAAAACCCGGACCAUAAGUGAAGGGCCCAUAGAAGAGUACAAUUACCGUAAAAUAAAGAAUAAAACAAGGGGGAUUAUCUGAGCAAUUACGAUUAUCUCAGUAGUACCGUUAUCUGAGUGGUAUCAUUUUUGAAAAGAAAAAAAAAAGAGAAAUAUGUUUUCUCUAUUCUAUGUUCUCUAAGUUUUUCCCCCCACAAAUAGUAUGCUCCUCUUUACGAACGGAAUCAGAGCUUCCAAGAAUUCCUCAUAAAACUACGACGACGGUGCUUAAUCUGUGAAAACUAGAUAUGUCCGACUACGUGAUAUACUUUUGUAUCGGUGUAACAUUUUUUUCUGGACAUGUUUUCCACGUUCCUUUUCGGUGUUCGAUUGAAUAUCGGAUCAUUUUAGGAAUUUGUUUCCCAACAAUCAUCAAUGCUGAAGAAACACCCACAGGUCUUCGCAUCAUGAACCAAAGCUUCCUAUACAUAUUUACUUCUCGUCAGUGUUCUCCCGUUUCCUAAAAUCCAGAGAGAGUAUCUACAUAGAGGGCAGCAAAAAGCAGGAAUUGUAAGUAGCAUAUUAUUAUAGCAAAAUUCAAGGCGCCCAGAUAAGGCAGGAAUGGAAAAGACUACCUUUCUCCGGCGAGAGUGACAUUCGUUCUUGUUGGGAAUGACUGAUCCCCGAAAAACCGGAUUCGACACUAAAUCGAACCCCUAAAUCAAUGCGGAAGCAAAGCCCGGGAAAAACCACGUAUCACCGAUCCUAAAGCACACCACGGAUUCGAGCGUACCUUGUUAGCCACAGAUUAGACACCAACACUAAAGAAGGGAAGAAAUUCUGAUCUGAUGAUUUCAAUUGAAGGGUAAACAGUGCCGUUUGCCUUACUGUUCUUUUUGUCUUUUGGAGAGAGAGAACGCGCACAGGAGAAAAGCGUACGUACGUCUGUUUUUCCAACCAGUGUCUUCUCUCUCUCUCUCUCCUCCCUUUUAUACCUUCCCCUUCCACGGGCCCUAUUCCCGUGGGCCGGGCCUUUUGGGCCCAGCAUGGGCGGACGGGCCUUAAGCCCAUCUCAUAAAUCCAUCAUCUCCCACUCGCACAUGGUGGUCCAAAACCAACAUGGGCGGACAGGCCCUACUCAGCCCCAUCAGAGAAAAAUCCAUCAUAGAUUCUCACUUAACAUGAUGGGCCGAAACAGAAUCCUCUUUUCCUCUCUUCAACAUUCAUACCGGUGAAUAAUCCGUGCGACCAGCAUACUUUGAGAGCUCGUUGCCAUACAUCUGUUAGGAAUAUAUAGCAGCUCAUAAUGGGCAUUUCACUCCGAGUAAAUUUAGUAUGCAGUACUCUAGAUCGAUCGAUCACAUUUAUAUCUCUCUUGAUCUCUUUUAAACAAUGAUAUAUAUAUUGUAUUCACAAUUAUGAUUAUGUCUUAUGUGUCCUGCAAGCCUAAGUUAAUGACCUAAAAAUGACAAGAAAGCACACCAUCUCCUGUGUCCAUAAAAAGCUAUGCAAAUCUCUGAAAACAACCCAUGAAACUAAAUGGACUUCAUGGUAAGAUUGAACAGAAAUAUUCUUUUCUUCCAGCUUCGGCAUUCGACAACUGGCCACCCAUGCUCUACGAUAGUAUGGCAAAAGGUGCAUCCACAUAUGUAACCAAAUAUGUGCAAAUAUAUAGUCGUUAUUUGAAUUUAUGUAUAGUAUCUGGCAGGAAACAAUGUAAACUGGCGAAAUUCUCUCAUAGCGUACCUUAGAAUAGAUUCCUCAAAAUCAUCGACACAACUCCUACCUCAACAUAGUUUCUAAGGCUUCAUCCAUCCCCAGCUUCUUCUCUUUCAUUAGGAAUAUCUAUGAAGGAGUACAGGCCAAACAUUGGCUACUGCAAAUGAUAUUUUCUGUAACUUUUGCCAGUAAUAUUUGACUCAUCCAGAAUUUGGUUUUUGUAAAAGGUCUUUAGGGGAAAUCGACUUAUCGCGGGAUGCAUUAUGUACUGGACAUCGAUGAGGUGUCUAGGAUGACCCAGAGAACUCAACCUUUCGAAUAGACUCUUUCCAAAGCCAGCCAUGCCAGAUAGCUAUAAAAAUAAAAACAUUCAAAAACUUAGAAGGUCAAUUAAGCAUAAGAUGAUUCUUAUUUAUGUAUGUGUUGUGAUAUAAUACACGGAAACGGCAGAAUCUUGCAAUUUACGUCAACGCGAAAUCACCAGAGAAAUAAAUGAGAAAAAUAGGGACACAAGAAAUUUACGUGGUUCGGUCCGAGUAUCGGUACCUACGUUCACGGAGAGAGCCGGCAGUAAAUAAUCCACUAAAAUUGGAGAAUCAAAAUUUACAAUCGUUCAAACGCUCAAGUGUUUCCUACACCUAAAUUUAACCCAAACCCAAAGUGUUUAUAAAUAAACAACUCACUUGGGAAUAAACUCACAACACAAAAUUACCACGCAUUCAAGCUCAAAACACAAUGCUCUACAUACGCCUAGUUUGCGUACGUAUGAAAUCGCGUAUCUCUUCAAGCUUCUCGCGGAGGACUUGCGGCUUCGUUGAUCAUUGGACGCGCGCUCCGAAGGGUUUCUUUCAGCAGUCUAACGCCUAACGCAGAAAGAACGAUUAUGUUCUUAUAUAUGUGGGCCCAGGUCAAAGGCCCUCCACCACUUUUGGAUUCUUACGCAUGGAGGACUUCAUGCCGAACGUGUGUGUGUGUGCGCAAUAGUGUGCCCAAGGUCAAACCAAGGUCAAAAGUUUGACUUUGGCCCCCACCAAUUUUGAUUCUUCAUGUGGAGGGCUUCAGCGGCUUCUUUCUUUCUGUUAAACUUGCAGCGGCGUCUUUCACAAAGAAAAGAAGACUUUGACAACUUCACUCCAAAAGGGAAAAUUCAUCUUUUAAUUAUUUCAUCUUUUGUAAUUUCAGCAAAUCGCGUUUUCGUAAACACUCAAACUCGAGUAAUACUUUAAUAAUUCUCCACCUUGGCUCAAUGUUUGAAGUUAAAUUAUAGUGCUUAUCAUCCAUGCUGCUCUCCCAACGCCCCAACAGGCGCUCACUCUCCACAGAUGCCAAUAGAGCUCAAGCAAAACUUGAGCUUCGUUAAAGGAACAUACUUAGUCAUCAUGUCUGCCGAGUUAUCUGCUGUAGCAAUCUUUUUAAUAAUAACAAUACCUUUAGCUAAGACAUCUCGGAUGAAGUAAUACUUGAUGUUAAUAUGCUUCGUUCGCUCGUGAUAAACUGGAUUAUAUGCUAAAUAUAUCGCACAUUGGUUAUGACAGUGUAUAUAAACACUUUUCUGUCCUAACCCAAAGUUCAAGAGCAAACUUUGUAAUCAUAUCGCCUCCUUCGCUACAAAGGUUAGUGCCAUGUACUCUGCCUCAAUUGAAGACAAGGCAAUGUGAUCCUGUAAGGAUACUUUCCAACUAAUUGCACUACCUGCUAGCGUAAACACAUACCGUACUAAAGACUUGCAAUCAUCCAAGUCACCGGCAUGAUCCGAAUCCACAAAACCAGUGGUCUCACUACCAUUACUGUCCCUCCGGUAUACUAUACCCACGUCUAUUGUCCCCUUCAAAUAUCUGAGAAUCCACUUCAUAGCUUCCCAAUGAGCUUUACUAGGACGCUUCAUAUAGCGACUAACCACGCUCACAACUUGUGAAAUAUCAGGCGUAGUGCACACCAUAGCAUACAUAAUACUACCAACGGCACUAGAAUAAGAAACACAUGACAUAUGCUCCUCCUUCUCCUCAGUCUGCGGUGAUAAUUUAUCUGAAAUUUUAAAGUGCUUCGCUAAAGGUGUAUUUACAGAUCUUGCUGACUGCAUAUUAAAACGUGCUACGAUCUUCUUAAUGUAUUUCUUUUGAGAUAGAUGUAAAAUUCCUGCAGUCCUGUCACGCAAAAUCUCCAUACCCAAUAUUUUCUUUACAGCACCUAAAUCUUUCAUCUCAAAUUCAACAUUUAACUGCAUCUUCAGCAUAUCAAUAUCAGACAUAUUCUUAGCUGCUAUCAGCAUAUCAUCAACAUAUAAAAGUAGAUAAAUCAAAUAACCAUCAUCCAAUCUCCUAUAGUAAACAGUCUAAGAGACUGUUUCAGCCAAUACAAAGAUUUCUUUAACAAGCAAACAUAAUCUUCCUUACCCGGAAUAGCAAAUUCCUCUAAUUGUCUCAUGUAAAUCUGCUCCUCCAACUCACCGUGAAGAAACGCAGUUUUCACAUCUAGCUGCUCUAAUUUGAGAUCCUGCGAAGCAACUAAGGCAAAUAAAACACAAGUAAAAGUAUCUCUUACCACAGGAGAGAACAUCUCAUUGUAGUCAAUGCCCUCACGUUGUGUAUACCUCUUCGCCACAAGUCUCGCCUUAUACAUUGCUGUCUUGAUAUCGAGAAUGCCCUCUUUCCGUUUAAAGACCCAUUUACUUCUGACAAUCUUUUGGCUCUUGGGUUACUUUGACCAGCUCUCAUGUUUGAUUUUCAUGGAGUGAUUUCCAUCUCUUCACUCAAGCCCUAGCCAUUGCACGACUCCGAACUAGCCAUCGCCUCAGAAUAAGACGAAGGCUCAUCUGUCUCCACUUUAUCACCUACAGUCAAUGCAUAAGCAAUAUUUGUAUAACCAUAACGUAUUGGUGAUUUAAUUUACCUUCUCUGUCUAUAUGCAACUAUAGUCUGCUGCGGCUUUGCUGGUUGUUCACUAUCACCAACUUCAGGAACUGUGGCUUCAUCUGCAGUCUCAACCUCCGUUACCUUCGAGGUCUCCGGAGUCUCCACUUGAAGCUCCACCUCACUUAUGACACAAAGAUCUGUCUUCUCUGCUGGUUGUGUCUCAGAACUCCUCUGUUGAAGCAUUGUAGUCUCAUCGAAUAUCACAUCUCUGUUGAUUAGAAAACUGGGUAAUCUGGGAUCAGUGCAUCACAGCCGGUAGCCUUUCACCUCAUGUGCAUAAUCCAGAAAUAUGCACUUCUUCGCCCUCGGCUCAAGCUUACCAUCACUCGCAUGAGUAUACGCAGGACAUCCGAAUAUUCGUAAUCCGGAAUAAUCAACAGGUUUCCCCAUACUUCCUCAGGAGUCUUCCACUCGAUAGCAAAUGAUGGAGAUCGAUUAACCAAGUAACAUGACAUAUUCACUGCUUCGACCCAAAAUUCCUUGCUAAGAACAUGCGAAAGCAUGCAUCGAGCUUGCUCAAGCAAAGUUUUGUUCUUCCGUUCUGCCACACCAUUCUGAUGUGGUGUCCCAGGUAUCGUGCGAUGUCUUAGAAUACCUUCUUUCUCGCAGAACUCGGUAAAAUCUUUACCACAAAACUCCAUGCCAUUAUCGGUUCUCAGGCACUUAAUCUGUUUAUCUAACUGCUUCCCAAUCAAUGCCUUAAAUUUCUUGAACUGAUCAAACACAUCAUAUUUGUGCUUUAGAAAGUAUACCCAUAUUUUUCUCGAAUAAUCGUCGAUAAAAGUCAGCAUAUAUCGAGCACCUCCUUUCGAAGGAACUGAAGGCGGGCCCUAAACGUCUGAGUGAAUAUAUUUAACUGGUCGUUUGGUCGAAUGAAUAGCUGUAGUAAACUUAACUCAAUGCUGCUUCUCAUAGAUGCAAUACUCACAUAAGUCCAGCUUCCCUGUCUUUUGACCAUUCAACAACCCCUUUCACUCAGCAUCGUCAUAGCUACCUCACUCAUGUGCCCCAAAAGCUUAUGCCAUAAUUGAGUCAAGUUAGAGUCUAACUCAUCUCAUGAAAAUGCAGCGGUUCCGGUCACGGUCUCUCCCAAUAGAUGAUAGAGCGUAUUCACUUUCUUCCCCUUCAUCACUAUCAUGGCACCUUGAGAGAUCUUCAGUACUCCACCUUCAGUGGUGUACCUACACCUGAUGUCAUCGAGUGUCCCUAGAGAAAUAAAGGUUCUUCUUGAACUCCAGUACAUGCCUCACAUCUGUCAAUGUGCGAACUACCUCAUCGUGUAUCCGGAUCCGAAUUGUCCCUAUCCCCACAGCCUUUUUUUUUUUGGUCGGUCCUACACUAAGCCUACUUUAACACUCAUUCUCAGACUUUUGCUCUGCCUCCUUGCAGGGCGUGGGAGUCGAAACCCACUUCUGAAAUGAAAUCGUCCCCACCCCAAUCCCUCCUGAGAAGGUGGGGAUUUGAACCCCUCACCUCCCCCUUCCAAGCUGGAAGGGUGGCCACUGGGGUGAACCCCCAGUGGUUCUAUCCCCACAGCCUUACAGACUGCAUUAUUCCUCAAAAGAACCCUAUCACCAUCUGCAUCUCGGUAAGUAGUAAACCAGUUCUUAUGAGGCGUCAUAUGAUAAGAAUACCCCGAAUCUAGCACCCAUUCAUCUCCUAAUGAAGUAGCAGUCACACAUAAAACAACUUCUGCAUCACUGGUGCUCCCUUCAGCAACGUUUGCCACAUUGCUUGUGGCAUUCUGCUUAUCAACUUUAUUUCUCCGCUUUGGACAAUCUCUCAUGAUGUGCCCCUCCUCAUGACACUCAAAGCAUUUCACGCGUCCCUUGGACUUUCUAUGGCGUGAUUUUGAUAUGCUUUUACCUCUGCUACUACUAGGCUCUCGAUGUUGUUCUCUACUCCGAAUUGUUAGUGCUUCCGCUGUUCCUUUCGCUAGACCGUCAUCUCGCAACUUUCUCUGCCACUCCUUAGAGAAUAAGGUGGAUUUUACCUCUUCUGAGGUAAUCGUAGUACGCCCCCGCAAUAGUGAAUCGGUAAAGUGCUUCCAUGACUCUGGUAAAGAGGCUAACAACAUCAUGCCCUGCUCUUCAUCAUCAAGUAUCUUACCGACGUUCUUCAGAUCCAACAUAAUUUUAUUAAAUUCAUCUAGGUGGGUUCUGAUAGACGUACCUUCAGUAUAUCUAAACUCAAACAUCUUCUUCAGCAUAUACAAGCGAUUGUUCAAAUAUUUCUUCACAUAGAGUGCUUGAAGUUUUGCCCAUAACAUUACGGCAUCCUUUUCCUUAGCAACCUCUAUUCAUCUGUCAAAUUUAACAUGAUUAUACUCUUUGCUUUUUCAAUCAGCUCUACCAUCUCAUAGGCUUUCAUUAUAAUCGGCAACUCAUCUUCACCAUCUAGUACCUUGACCAAACCUUGUGUUGUCAAUAAUGCCCGCAUCUUGAUGCUCCAUAACACAAAGUUGUUACUCCCAUCCAACUUCUCAAUCUCAGAUUUCCUCUCAGAUAUAAUUGCAACAACAAAAUUUUUAGAUAAUAAUCAAACAAGCAAAAGCCCCAAAUCACAAUCAAGAAAUCCAAUCCCACGCUCUGAUACUAAUUGUUGGGAUAUAAUAUGUGGAAACGACAGAAUCUUGCAAUUUACGUUAACACGAAAUCACCAGAGAAAUAAACGAGAAAAAUAAGGACACUAGAAAUUUACGUGGUUCGAUCCGAGUAUUGGUACCUACGUCCACGGGGAGAGCCAACAUCAAAUAAUCCACUAAAAUCGGAGAAUCAGAGUUUACAAUCGCUUAAAUGCUCAAGUGGUUCCCACAUUUAGAUUUAACCCCAAACCCAAAGUGUUUAUAAAAAAAAAAACUCACUUGGAAAUAAACUCAUGGCACAAAAUUACCGUGCGUUCAAGCUCAAAACACAACGCUCUACGUACGCCUGGUUUGCGUACGUACGAAAUCGCGUAUCUCUUCGAGCUUCGCGCGGAGGACUUGCGGCUUCGUUGAUCGUUGGACGCGCGCUCCGUAGGGUUUCUUUCAGCAGUCUAAUGCCCAACGCAAAAAGAACAAUUAUGUUCUUAUAUAUGUGGGCCCAGGUCAAAGGCCCACCACCACUUUUGGAUUCCUACGCAUGGAGGACCUCAUGCCGAAUGUGUGUGCGUGCACGCGAGUGUGCCCAAGGUCAAACCAAGGUCAAAAGUUUGACCUUAGGCCCCACCAACUCUGAUUCUUCACGUGCAGGGCUUCAGUAGCUUCUUUCUUUCCGUUAAACUUGCAGCGGCGUCUUUCACAAAGAAAAUAAGUGUGAAAAGAAGACUUCGACAACUUCACUCCAAAAGGGAAAAUUCCUCUUUUAAUUAUUUCCUCUUUUGUAAUUCCAGCUAAUCGCAUUUUUGUAAACACUCAAACUUGAGUGAUAAUUCAACAGUAUGCAUGGGCAUGUUGCUAAACAAACAUUCAGCAAUGGCAGCCCUUGCUUUCAACCAUAGCUGGCAAUUGACAUUCAUCUCCAACUAAAAUUGCGUGCCUAACACCUCGAAGUUGUAAAGGAAUCAUUGACUCUCAUUCUUUGAGCUGCGCAGCCUCAUCAAAACAUUAGUCGAUAUCAGGAGCCGAACGCGUCUUUCCUUGUGACUUCGAAUUCGAGCUCAAUCAAAUUUCAUCUGUAGUUCUCAUGGCAUAAUCAAGGCGGCAAGAAAGAAUGUCAUAGCUCAAUGUUAUUGAAUAUUGUGCCAAUGCGACAUUAUUGAGCCAACACGUGAUGUUUAUUUCGAUGCGAGCCAAGCAAUUUAGUUAUUCGUGCUUUCCAUACUGCGGAACAACAAUGAUAUCUUCUUCGCUCGGGUUUUUGUUCUGCUUCCAUUGUUUUCCCUAAUGAAAGGUUCCUAUGGUUAUUGAAUUGUUAAAUAGAAGUAGAAUGCACAUAAGUCAUCUAAAGAUGGGCCUCCGCUUUGCGGAGCAACCUUGAUCCGUUGGGAUGGAGUGGUUUUCUUUCUGAUUUUUCCAAAGUUAAAAGGGAUUAAAAGACAGUCACUUUCCCUUUCCAGUUAAGAAACAGGCUUUGCUUGUCUUGAGCCGAAAGUGAGAAUGGUGGAGGAGCACUUGGCUUUUAUGACUGGUGUGCCUUUGCGGGACUGCUAGGUUUCUUUAGCUUUCUACAGCCAUACAAGAGAGAGAGAAAAAAAAAAUGCCAUUUAAGGACCCUGGGGAAGAUCGCCGGGAGGGAUAAGGGAUAAAUGAAGAACGAAGGAUGGAUGAAAUGGGGAUGUUUUUAUGUAUUUCUGGCGGAAUGAAGUGCUGGGCGUGAAUGAGAUAUGGUUACCGAACCAAACUAAUUUGAUUCGAGAAAAGUGCAAUACCAGCUGGGCCUACACUCGUGCUGCGUGGAGUGUUCGUGCCAUGUAGGGGGGAUCACCCCCACUUGGGUUUUAGCUCGUGGGUAUCGGGUUCAUGAGAAUAAUGGAUAUUUCAUAUACUAACUUGCUUAGGGUUUGUUUACUUGAGUUGGCUUUCUUGUCUUAUAACCAAAAAAAAAGACCCGGCAUUUCCAUCGUUCAGAUUCAUUUCAGUACAUAUAAUACGCUCCACGUGAUGAUUUUCCCCUUUUCCGUUGUGGAAUCUCCUCCAUGACAUCUCCAUCUCAACUUUAUAUUAAAGCUCUGGGCCCCCUAGAUGAACGUAGGCCAGCUACUCAAGCUAAAAAGCCCAUCUCCUAAAAGGCCCAAUUUGAAGACCCGUUUGAACCCUUUCGGGCCAUCCCUCUGGCAACAGUCCUCGGGUGAGGGCCACUCGUGGAGGAGGCCCACUGCAUCGCCGGACCGGUUUAAAGUGCAUGAAACGGAUCCAAUUCACCCUUUUCUUUUCAUUGAUGAACCGGUAGUCCCUCGAGUAUGUUAGGCAUUAAAUCCUACUUUUUUUUUUUUUUUACAAAAAUUAUUCUUUCCAGACUUAGGCUCUGCUCGCAUAGACUAGAACUCUUCAAGCAAGAAAACAAAUCGAUGGUCCUUUCUUUUAUUUUUCUACAAAAUUAAUUAUUAUAUAUAGAAAGUUACCAUCAACAAAUUGUUGCAUAUUGUGGAAUGUGCAUAGUGUACAUGUACAGUAAAUUCGCAUUCGCAUUCGCUUGGAAAAGGGAAACGGAAACCCAUCGAUUUUCGGUGUGAUUAUUGCAACCGACAGUAGCGUGGAGAUAGCCGUUGAAGAAGUUCACCUUUUUAACCCUGACGUGCGCUCGACUUUCCUAUUAUAUGAGGGUUAAAUUCGGAAGAACACGAAAACUGAGGGGAAAUACCCGAUCUAACCCCUCCUCCCCGCUCCGCUCGUCCUCUCUGUCAGGCCAAACGAAAACAGAGACAUCACUCUUCUGCAUCCUCCGCUCUUCUUCUUCUUCUUCUUCGUCUGCGUUUCCCUUCUUUGUUCUGGGUCCGCGUGCGGCCGAUCAUCGUUGACGGCACAGAGAGAGAGAGAGAGAGAGAGAGAGAGAGAGAGAGAGAGAGGCAGGAUCGAAGAGGACGGAGCCGCAUCUGGGUCCGCGUGCGGCCGAGGCAAGGCCGAGCGGCGGCGGCAUGUGGGUUCCGUUCUGUGAGUCUCUGGAAACUCGACCGCUCGUAAAUGUUUCUUUCUUUCUUCCUUGACGAUGACGCAGUAUUAGAGUUGUUUGUUGCUAGUGCUCGUUGAUUGUCCUGUUCUUGCUCUGUUUAGAUUUCUGCAGCUGUAAUCUUGUCGUGAGUUUCGGUUUUUUUUUUUUAAUUUGGGGUGGGGGGGGGGGAGGCUCUGUUGAAUUUGUCUUGUUGUGCUGCACUACGAUUGUGCUGUUUCCGGCGUUACAUAUCCUUAAGCCUUGGCAUUGUCUUGCAAAAAAUCUCUCGACUCUGCUGCUUUUUACCAAUUUUCUUGACCGAAAGAUCAAAGUAUAAUCCUGUAGAGGUGCUCGAAUCAUCUGCUAUUCAACUUUUUCUUAAUUUUUCCCAGCCAUCUUGGAUGUUUAUCUUGAAAACUGUCUCUUGAACUAACGUUUGUCUUGUGUAGCUUUCGAAUUAGUCUUCGAAAUUGGGUUUCUAACAAAGCCUUUUCUGAAAAUUCCGCUUUGAGGAUGGACAGGUUUUCUUUUCAGUCAAUAUAUCAGCCUAAACUAAAGUUACUUAAAUCCUCUUGACGUUGCCCUGCUUUGCUAAGAUUCCUUUCUUUUACAAUCCUUCUGACUCUUUCCUUAUACCUUCUGUGUUUUUCUUUUUCUCUUUUUUUUUUUUUUUUCAAUUUUCAAAAUAGACAUGAUAUUUCGACAAUGACAGUUUAACGAGUGCACCAAGAAAAAAAAAAGAAUCCUUUUUCGGGUCAAAAAGGCAAUAAUGUCAAUAUGACAAGAUUUCUUAAUUUUCGUAAAUAUUUAAGAUUGAAUUGGUAAAAGUAUAAUAGAUUUAGGACUUUUUAGAAAAUUUAUGUUGCAAAUAUUUAGGAUCAAUGGAGUAAUUUUUUAAAGCUUUUUGCCCAAUGCAUGUGGCUUUGCAAGACGGGCUUCUUCAUCGUUCCACACUUUUGCAAAGCGAAGGAGUUGAAUCCCACAAACCAACAAACGAAAGUUGCUUUGGGUAAAACGCUUGUUAAGCUUACUCGCAUUUACAUACACACUGUUUUUCCUUGUUUGAAGUUACUGGUGUCAGGAAUGUUUGGAGUUGGGAUUUAGAUUAACAAGCGCGUGUUCCUUUUUCAGUUUUAAAUGACCAGAGGUGUGUGUACACGCGACUCGAUCUUACGACUGGUUAUGGAAAUUAGGAAUGAGAUGUGGUCGUGAUUAUUAGUACAAGAGUACUAAGAUUAUACGAUGAGGACCUAAAACCAUAGUCCCCCUCAUGUAUUUCAAACUCACCGCACGACAGAUGGAUGAAUUGUCUCUGUACAUGUUUUCAGGGACGGUAGUACAUGCUAGUGUCGAUUGAUUAGCCAACUUGCUUUGCGAAACAAUUCAUUCGCCGUUAUAGAAUUCCAACCUUUGAGAGGAUUAGUUCCUCUUAUUUUAGCCUUUGGGUGAAGGGUACCAUUGCAUAGCUGUAUGGGCUUUUUGGCUCCUUUUUUUUUUUUUUUUUUUCCUCAAGUUACGAUUUUGCUUAUGGUAUAACGAGAUAAAAGUAUCUUAUCGUUCAUUUCCCAUCAUUUUCACUUAUCAAUAGGCUUAAUUCCAAAAAAAAAAAAAAAAAUCAAUUUUAGAUCAAGUAACAAUUCUUGUCCCAAUUUUUUUGUCUCAUAAAUAAUCACGAACGUUCACCAUUUUCCCAAAUCUGGCCUCCAUUAUUAACUCUUUGUCUAAAGCUAGUCGUGAACUUGGCAGAUCUUGUCCAUUGUGUCUCUCGACGGGCGAUGGUCCACAACUUCAUAUUAUAACAAAACUGUAAAGCUUGGUCAAAGAAAUUCAAUCCGAAGAUUUUAAGUGGCGGAGAUGAUGAACAAUUUCACCAUUAUUUUUCAAGCUAUGGCUUAGAGAAGAAAACAAUGAAUAGUGCUUUAAAUCCAACCAACAAGUGCACAUGGAUUCAUUGCUAAGGACAUCAAUGAUUCUAAGUUAAGGGGGCCAGAUUUGGGAUUCAAGUGAAAGUUGAUGCUUUUUUUCAAGACAAAAAAAAGUUUGGGCUAUAAUUGUCACUCAACCUAAAGUUAAUAUGUUUUUACUAGACAAAAAAAACUUAGAAUUGUCACUCAAUAUAAAGUUUUUUUUUUUUUUUGGGAAUUACCCCCUUAUCGAUAUGAAAUUUUUGAAAAAUAAAUAGUUUCAGAAGUGCUUUAGUCAACUGCUUCUCUUCAACGUUCACUACAAGCCAAGUCAACAUUCACUCACGGUUUAAUAGACAAAAUACUGAUCAUACUACUAAUGAUAACUUAUUUUUAUACGGGCGUGCGGCGUGCGCCAUUGGUUUUUUUUUUUUCUUGUAAAGCAUCACAUGAUAAUAAUAAAAUACAUAACUUUUGCAGAAAAAUGGAAAAACUCGACAUUAAUUUUUUUUUUCUCGUUUUACAACCAUACAAAUUAUUUCCUUAGAAUUAGAAUAAUACUAUUUUUCAAUAACUGAAAACAAUCGGGUAUUUAAAAUUCAAAAAAUAAAGGAAAAUAAGACAAACAUUUUUAUUUUUUCCAUAUAGAUGAGGGCAAAAAUGAGGUAUUUGCAACGUAAGAACAAUUAAGAAAUUUGAUCAAGUACUCUUUCUCAGUCGAAAAGGAGUCGCUAAUUUCUGUGUUUUACCAUUUUAUCAUUUUUCUUUGGUCAAUUUUAUCACUUCGAAUCACAAUUAAAAAGAUGAAUUUACGAUUUCUUUAACGAUAGCAAAGGAAUUCAAUAUUUUCCCUUAAGCUUCCGUUUGUUUUGCGGAAAGUAUUUUUCAGGAAAACACUCUCCUUAUUUUCUGUGGUUUGGUUUGAUUAAGAAAAUGAGUCAACAAAAAAUAUUUUCUUAGUUAACAUAUGGCCUAUACCUAAAUUCAGAAAAAUGAUUUUCUCUUUGAAAAAUUGGAAAAUAUUUUCCAAAAUAUGAGUAGGUAUCCAUGUUUGAAUCUAAAACUUUACCCUUGAGCAAUAUAGGUCUUCAAUGCUUGGAUUUGGAUGCAUCGAUGUUAAGCCUAGGACCCUAAUGACUACUAUAGGGUCCAUCGCACAUCGAGGCUAGGCUUGAAGCCUUGGUGCCUGUGCCCGAUGCCUGGCACAUGAGCCCGAGUCCAUAAAGGUUAGCUUAGAUCCAGGGCCAUCAAAGGGGUGGGGAUGUUAUGUAAUGUUGUCUGUGAAUUCACAAACUCACGUUGGCCAGGUCACCCAAAUCCCAUAUUAAAAAUCAUUCGUUUUACAUCAUUAUAAUGAAAAAGCAAAGUAUAAAAGGAAGCUAUAUACAUUCUUGCGUGCGACCCUGCACAAAGUAUAGCAUGCAAAGACAGAAAACGAAAUCCGAAGUAUAAAGGUAAUCCAAGCCAUGUCCAGAGAUAAAUUUUCACCCUAUAGUUCUGUGUGCGAAUAAAGCAACCAAAUAUAUACAAGCGUCAAACUAGCAGAAGCUAUAUAGUUGAGAAGUUCCACGCCUUACUCGAAAAUACCCGGCACAGGCACUGAAACUCCGGCCCGAAUGAAAAGUUCGUUGCAAAGAAAUGGUAUUUUCCUUCCUGGUAAAAGCAUCAAUCAGCUCCUUCCCCUGAAUCUGUCAAAAGCACUGAAGAGGGAAUUCAGAAAACCGCCGAAGGGGGAAUUCUGGGAACUCUUCUCUCGAUCUAGCUCAGUUACUUCAGAUGCAAGAUUCAAUUCGCUGUUGGCGACCUCCGGUAACAAGUGCCUGACUACACUUGAUGAUGAGGGGUAGAAUGUCAUUGAAAGCAGGCUCUCUCUUGCUCCUGGAUUCGACGUAUUGGCGCCAGAACUGCUUCCAGCUUGAACUUGAUCCAGACCGAGGAUACGAGCGAUGCACUGAGGACAAUCCCAUGUCUUCGGAACUUCCCAAUCCCUAUAUAACAGAAGAUAUGUGCUCAUAUAAGAUAGCAGUUCGAAAAAGAUCUAUUCAAGUCAGCUCUUGUGAUCAUUUAUCCACGGAAGUGAAUCUUAUAGACUAUUGAUAAAUCUUCGAUUGGAAGUUAGGCAAAAAAGACGAGACUUACCCCUCCAGACAUUUCUCGUUGCAGUGAUUAAUGAAAUCGUCUGCAUAUGCUUUGAACUCGCUGUCGAGAUGUUCAACCAGUCUCGUUGCGUCACUUAAAGGCAAUACAUCCCAAAUCUUCAAGAUUUGGACGUAUCUAAGUUCCUUUAGUAUAUCAACAGUGCACAGCAUGUAGAGACCUUCAACCUGAAAUUGCUUCACCAUAGGAGAAGAGCUUUUAGGGAGUAAACCCCCGUUGCUCUUUUUAGGUCUCCAGCCACCGGCGAGUUUUGAUAUGAGGAUCGUGAUUGACAUCUUGGUCCCAGGUGACGUCAGCUUUCUGAAAGACUUCACAAAGUUGUCGCCAAAGAAAACCUACAGAGACAAGAUGGUUGACAAGAAAACGUAAUGUCAUUGAUUCUGCAAAAGUCGAAUGUCCAUUUUGAAAGAAAAGAAAACCAUCAGCAAAGUGAGUUACCUUCCACCGAACAUUUCUAAAUAGGACACUAUUUCCACCAAGCGGAUCAUCUAGCAGGAUAUCCUCUUUCUUCCCAUCCAAAAUGGCUUUGAAUUCAUCAGUACUGGAGGAACAUUCUCGACUCUUAGCAUCCUGGGAGCAUUUUGCACUCCACUGCGCAUUUCUAUAUACUACACUACUUCCAUCAACCAGACCAUCAGGCUGAUUAUUCUUCCCAUCCGAAGCGGCUUUGACAUCAUCAGUACUGGACGAACAUUCUCGGCUCUUAGCAACAUGGGAGAAUUUUGCACUCCGCUGUGCAUUUCCACAUACUACACCGCGUCCAUCAACCGGACCAUCAAGCUGAUUAUUCUUCCCAUCCAAAGUGGCUUUGACAUCAGCAGUACUGGACGAACAUUCUUGGCUCUUAGCAUCCUGGGAGCAUUUUGCACUCCACUGCACAUUUCCAAAUACUACACUGCUUCCAUCAACCAGACCAUCAAGCUGAUUAUUCUUCCCAUCCAAAGCAGCUUUGACAUCAUCAGUACUGGACGAACAUUCUCGGCUCUUAGCAUCCUGGGAGCAUUUUGCACUCCACUGCACAUU
rnacentral:lncRNA from 1 species